rnacentral:rRNA from 1 species
UGAGGAACAUGACCUUCGGCGGGGGAUAGCCGGCCCAACGGCCGGGUAAUACCGCGUACGACCAUUUGGGGACAUCCCCGAGUGGUGAAAGCAGCAAUGCGCCGAUGGAGUGCCUCGCGGCCUAUCAGCUAGUUGGUGGGGUAACGGCUCACCAAGGCAACGACGGGUAGCUGGUCUGAGAGGNUCGCCACGCCACUAGGUUCGGGACUGGAACGACCGACCGGCCAGUACCC